UGCUCGUUGGUCUAGGGGUAUGAUUCUCGCCUUGGGUGUGAGAGGUCCCGGUUCAAACCCGAUGAGCCC